ensembl:snoRNA
UGGGUCGAUGAUGAGUGCUGGAGCUAUAUGAUUCAUCUACUGUGACUACAGGUCUGGGAGUCUGAGGUUCAC